rnacentral:rRNA from 1 species
UACAGAGGUCUCAAGCGUUGUUCGGAUUCAUUGGGCGUAAAGGGUGCGUAGGUGGCGCGGUAAGUCGGUGUGAAAUUUCGGAGCUUAACUCCGAAACUGCAUUCGAUACUGCCGUGCUUGAGGACUGGAGAGGAGACUGGAAUUUACGGUGUAGCAGUGAAAUGCGUAGAGAUCGUAAGGAAGACCAGUGGCGAAGGCGGGUCUCGUGGACAGUUCCUGACACUGAGGCACGAAGGCCAGGGAGCAAACGGG